rnacentral:rRNA from 1 species
UACGUAGGGUGCAAGCGUUGUCCGGAAUUAUUGGGCGUAAAGCGCGUGUAGGCGGCUUUGCAAGUCGGGUGUGAAAGCCCUCAGCUCAACUGAGGAAGUGCGCCCGAAACUGCAGAGCUUGAGUGCCGGGAGAGGGUGGCGGAAUUCCCCAAGUAGAGGUGAAAUUCGUAGAUAUGGGGAGGAACACCGGUGGCGAAGGCGGCCACCUGGACGGUAACUGACGCUGAGACGCGAAAGCGUGGGGAGCAAACAGG